rnacentral:tRNA from 1 species
CAGAUUAUAGCAUAUAAAAUGCCUUUUAUUUACACUAAAAAGAAAAUGAAUUCAUUUAAUCUGU